UUCGUGAGAACCUAAUGUGCAGAGUUAAGAGACAAUUUUUUUUUUUAAAAAAGAUCCAAAGCGUUGCCAUGGCUAAUGUUGCGAAUGGUGCAACCUAGGGAGCUGAUCAAGUGGUACCACGAAACAACAUAACCAUCUUUACGAGCAUUCUUUGCGAGCCUCAAGUGUACCCAAUGAGGAAUUUCAUCGUGCAGGGAUAUGGCAAGUCAGUCAACACAAAACCUCACAAGUAUAAAUUAAGUUUCUAUGUGAAGACAUCUGUUUCUAUCCUUUCCCAUGAACAUUUCCAUUCACUCCAUUCCGAUUUGCAAAGUACCAAGAUAUAGAAGCAAUAGCUAUGCUGAAUCAAAAUUAUCUAAUUGGUAAGUGUCGACAGAAGUAACAUUUAUGCAAAUUGUUCCUGUAUUUGUUUUCUAAAGUUCUCUUAUUCUUCUAUCUUUUAUUAGAAUGCAUCGGUCAUGUGGUAGUGAAAGAAGAAUCCAAAGACUUGGUAACCAAAACCAGGCAAAAGACUAAACGGAUGGUGGUUUAUUUGGAGGAUUUAGAGUUCGUAUAUUUGACACUUUUUUUAAUGAAAUAAUGAACUUGGUUGUGUUAUACUUAGUAAAUGGUCCAGUGGCUAGUGUUUGUGCUUAUUCAGGUUAUGUUGUGUAUUUGUUUACGCGAAAUAAGAUGAAGUGUACAUUGUUUGAAAAUUUUGUUGAUAAAGAUAUUGCAUUUCUAGCUAGGGCAGAUUGCGAGCCAGUGGUCCUGGUGGCCUAGCUUUUCAAACCAAAUUUGUACUUGAAUGAUGUUAACAUCUAGAGUAGCUUUGAUCUUUCUCGACUAUAUUGCAAUGCUAAUUUUUCUGAGGUUGUUAGUUUCCAAAAUAGGUAUGAUAAGGUGGCAUACGGUUAUGUCAAAGUGUACAGUCGUUUCCCUUCCAAGUGGGCAUGUUAUCAUAGGAUUAUCGUUAUAAGUAACAAGAUGUUUUGAAUUCUUUUUUGUUAUCAAGUUUAAUGUUGCAAGUGGAUCUAGCCUCACAAAAAAUUAAUGUUUUUGACAGUCAAUCGCAACCAUCUGUUAGUGAUGAGAUAUCAUGGGGUACCAUUUCAGUAAAGACCAAAGAAGAGGUCCUAAACCUGGAGCAAGUUAGUCCCACAUUGGUCUUAUCCGUUUUGGCUUUCUCUUAGUUUCAUGGAUUUAAUAAUUGUGUGAUAAUUUUAUUUAUUAGGAAACUUCUUGCUAAGUAGUUGGUGUGAUAGUUCCUCAGAGGUGGGUCUUAAGGACUGGUUCUAUGUUUUGUGCAACACCUGUCCUAGGAAAGUGCAAUCGAGCAAGGACAAAUAUUGGUGUGAACAUUGUAAGAAAGUGGAGUUUAAUGGUGCUUUCAAAUAUAUAUCGCCUCAAUUUGAUCCUAACCGAUGGAACUGGCUGUAUUAAGGUCAUACUGUGGAACUCAAAAGCGAAGGCUAUAGUUGGAAAAACAACAAGUAAAAUAAAAGAAGCCAGUGUAAGUGUUUGGAAUGGAUAAUAUAAGUGUGUAUCCUGCUGUGGUCAUGAAAAUUUUCUCAUCGACUUAAGUUAGUAUUCUUGAUUUAGAGGAAACAAAUCAGGGCAGUUGCUAUGCGAAGGCUCUUAACGCCAUCAUUGAAAAUAAGUUUUUAUUUAAGCUAUCUGUGACCUCCAGAAAUAUUAGAUCUGUUGAUCAAGCCUACAACGUUGUUAAGCUUAGGGAUGAUGAGUCUUUAAUAGACCUCUAUGGGAUGCAAUCUUUGUCUAUUGACAAUGGGGUAUGCUAUCAUCAUUUUACUCAAUUUAUUUGUCAAUGACUAGUUUCUUUGGAUGUUGCCUGCAAUCUUUUGGAUGAUGACUCUUUUCAAGAGGGGAGCAGAGUGUAUCCACUCUUUUAGGUGGAAGUUGCAAUCUUGAGACUUACUCUGAAAGGAAUGUUUUAGGCAAUGUGUCUCUAUCGAAGGUUAGUAUUAUUCAAGACAUUCAAAAUUGUUAAAUUUAGUGAACAUUUUUGGUAAGGUAUUUUCUAAAUAAAAAGCAUAUUCGUCAAUUAACCCAAGACUCUACAACUGAGAGCUUUUGCAAAACUGGCAAUGCAACUCCGACCAAACCUACUGGACCUGCGGUUGUCGGAAAUUCAGCCAUUGUUGGGGUGGGUAGCCCAGAAGGGCAAGGUUCAAGCAAAAAAAUAUUUAGGAAAGGUUCUGGGAAGUGGAAGAUGGAGUGAAGAUGUUAUUGGCCAUUGAUGUAAUAAUUUAAGUCGAAAUUGGUGCAUCAAAAGUAGUGUUAUUAUAUGCCAUAUUGUUCUAGGUUCGUUAUGUAGUUUGAAGUUUCUUUAGAUGAACUCAAUGUGUAGUGUUCCGUGGUCCAGAUCAUCUUCACAAAAGGAACAAAUAUGUGUGGGAUAUGUAUAUAUGAAAUGGAAACUUUGUUUGGACUUAAAAGAG